rnacentral:rRNA from 1 species
ACCUCCCUCUUUCUUCAGGCUUAACACAUGCAAGUCGAACGCACCUUUCGGGGUGAGUGGCAGACGGGUGAGUAACGCGUGGGAAUCUACCCUUCUCUACGGGAUAGCUCCGGGAAACUGGAAUUAAUACCGUAUACGUCCUGAGGGAGAAAGAUUUAUCGGGGAAGGAUGAGCCCGCGUUGGAUUAGCUAGUUGGUGGGGUAAAGGCCUACCAAGGCGACGAUCCAUAGCUGGUCUAAGAGGAUGAUCAGCCACAUUGGGACUGAGACACGGCCCAAACUCCUACGGGAGGCAGCAGUGGGGAAUAUUGGACAAUGGGCGCAAGCCUGAUCCAGCCAUGCCGCGUGAGUGAUGAAGGCCCUAGGGUUGUAAAGCUCUUUCAGUGGGGACGAUAAUGACGGUACCCACAGAAGAAGCCCCGGCUAACUUCGUG